GAGAUUCAGAGCACACUAGAGCAAUCGCUCUGAUGGCAGGAGGAGGGCGCUUCUGCUGCUACAGGAAGGAAGGAGGAGAGAAUGGGUGUGGAUGCUGGAUGCCUGUUCCUGGUUCGGCACAGUGCGGGCUCAGACAACGCUGUUCACAAUUGGACUGUUUAUUUGCAAUAAGGGAGAGACGUGGCCUCAUAAACCACAGAAACUGAGCAACACUGCCCCAAAAGUUCUCUGCCUCUGCCGUCGUCCCUCCCCACCCACGCACGCACCACCACCUCCCUGGAGAAGGGGGACCGGCUCCGUUUCCGUCCUGAGAGCCGAACGUCAGUGCCCAGCGUUUACACAGCAAGGAACAGCCCCUGUACUCGGGCAGGGGGCCGGCUCCUCUUACGACUGUGUCUUCCACUCAUUCAGCUCUGAGCCC
rnacentral:lncRNA from 1 species